UCUCCGUUGGUGAACCAGCGGAGGGAUCAUUACCGAGUUUACAACUCCCAAACCCCUGUGAACAUACUAUUUGUUGCCUCGGCGGUGCUUGCUUCGGCAGCCCGCCAGAGGACCCAAACCCUUGAUUUUAUACAGUAUCUUCUGAGUAAAUGAUUAAAUAAAUCAAAACUUUCAACAACGGAUCUCUUGGUUCUG
rnacentral:misc_RNA from 1 species